rnacentral:rRNA from 1 species
GACGAACGCUGGCGGCGUGCUUAACACAUGCAAGUCGAACGCGCCUGUCCUCUGGGUUUCUGGGGGGUGGGUGAGUGGCGAACGGGUGAGUAACACGUGAGUAACCUGCCCCCUUCUUCGGGAUAACGGUCUGAAAGGGCUGCUAAUACCGGGUAUUCACUGGUCUCCGCAUGGGGUCUGGUGGAAAGGUUUUUUUCUGGUGGGGGAUGGGCUCGCGGCCUAUCAGCUUGUUGGUGGGGUGAUGGCCCACCAAGGCUUUGACGGGUAGCCGGCCUGAGAGGGUGACCGGUCACAUUGGGACUGAGAUACGGCCCAGACUCCUACGGGAGGCAGCAGUGGGGAAUAUUGCACAAUGGGCGCAAGCCUGAUGCAGCGACGCCGCGUGAGGGAUGGAGGCCUUCGGGUUGUGAACCUCUUUCGCCCGUGGUCAAGCCGCGACGUGGGUCGUGGUGAGGGUAGUGGAUAAAGAAGCGCCGGCUAACUACGUG